GUUUCUUGAUUCCGGUUAGAUUCUGGGCUCGUCCGUUUCUCUGUAUUUCGUGGGUCGUGCGCUGUUUCGAUGAAUUUUUCGGUUUUGGGUAUGUGGGAAUUGUGGGAUGGUUUCUUGGGUUCGAUGAGUUCUGUGGAAAGGAUGGUGUUGUGGGUUCGUCGGCCUUUCUUUUCUUUUGAUCGAAUUCACGAUGCGUUUUUCGCUAAACUUCGUCGGCCUUUCAGGUAAAUAUGGUCUUCAGUCAGCUUGUGAAGAUGCCACAAGACAAGUUCAGUAUUGAUGGUUAAAUCUUUUGCUAUAUAUUUCCUUAUGUAGGUGGUAGUUGCUCCAAUUCUCUUAGGAUCUUAUGUUCCUGUUGAUGCCAUUAAACUGUCGAUCAGCACCUUGCAGGUAAAUAUGGUCUUCAGUUAGCUCGUGAAGAUGCCAAGCUUUCCUCUCUUGUACAUCUUCAGCAAUGCUUAUUUUUUCAAAUUACUAUUUCUUGCUUUAGGUGAAGUGGUAGGUUGCCUUGUUAGAAAUAGUAGCUCUUUGAUAUUCUAAAGUGUGUGCUGUAACUACAUUUCGAGCAAAGCUUUUGAUCUAUUCCCUGGAUGUGUAGUACAGUAAAUUUAGCAGAGCAUCCACAAGUUAUUGAAAUUCAUUUUGAGAUAAGUGAAUUUGUCAUGUAGGAUUGAUUUUCACAAAGAAAAAUGAUUUUUUGGGCCUUAUGCUACGUCAUAAUCUUCCUUAAUUUGA
rnacentral:lncRNA from 1 species